GGCGGGGUGCCAGAGCGGACGAAUGGGACGGUCUUGAAAACCGUUGGGCCGCGAAAGCGGCUCCGUGGGUUCGAAUCCCACCCCCGCCG
rnacentral:tRNA from 1 species